rnacentral:rRNA from 1 species
UAGGGAAUCUUCGGCAAUGGGGGCAACCCUGACCGAGCAACGCCGCGUGAGUGAAGAAGGUUUUCGGAUCGUAAAGCUCUGUUGUAAGAGAAGAACGUGUGUGAGAGUGGAAAGUUCACACAGUGACGGUAACUUACCAGAAAGGGACGGCUAACUACGUGCCAGCAGCCGCGGUAAUACGUAGGUCCCGAGCGUUGUCCGGAUUUAUUGGGCGUAAAGCGAGCGCAGGCGGUUUAAUAAGUCUGAAGUUAAAGGCAGUGGCUUAACCAUUGUUCGCUUUGUAAACUGUUAAACUUGAGUGCAGAAGGAGAGAGUGGAAUUCCAUGUGUAGCGGUGAAAUGCGUAGAUAUAUGGAGGAACACCGGUGGCGAAAGCGGCUCUCUGGUCUGUAACUGACGCUGAGGCUCGAAAGCGUGGGGAGCAAACAGG